rnacentral:lncRNA from 1 species
GCGCGACCGAGAGGCAACGCAAAAGACCCGCGUGAAAAGCGCGCCGGUAUCCAUUUCUUUUUUUUUCCUCUGUUUUUUUCCACGAUAAAAAUUCAAAGACCAAGAGGCCGCGCCGCCGAGAUUUUUUCUUUUUAUUUUUUUGGCGGCGGGAGAGGGCCGCAGGGAGGCGGUGCCCAGCGCCGCGCCGAGAGAAGCGGAAAAGGAAGCAAAAGGCGACCAAGGGAGGCGCGCAGACCGAAAGGGACGGGAGGGUCUCGGAAAGGAAGCAAAAAAAAAAGAAGGGGCAGCGACGGGCGCAAGGGAGGAAAAACGGCAGGGCGGCGCAAACGCGGCCCGCAGCAGAGCCGAAUUUCUUUUCCCCCCUUUUUUACUUCCUUUCUGUGGC